ACACGGACCAAGGAGGUCUAACAUGUGCGCGAGCCGCGGGGCAGUACGAAACCCGUAAGGCGAAAUGAAGGUGAACGCCGGCGCGGUCCGGCGGAGGUUGGAUCCCGUCCCGUCGGGGCGGGCGCACUACCGGCCGAUCUUCUCCGCCCUGUCGGCGAGGUCGAGCGAGAGCGUGCAAGUCGGGACCCGAAAGAUGGUGAACUAUGCCUGAGGAGGUUGAAGCCAGAGGAAACUCUGGUGGAGGACCGUAGCGAUUCUGACGUGCAAAUCGAUCGUCAAAUUUGGGUAUAGGGGCGAAAGACUAAUCGAACCGUCUAGUAGCUGGUUCCCUUCGAAGUUUCCCUCAGGAUAGCUGGCGCUCUGUCGCAGUUUUAUCUGGUAAAGCGAAUGAUUAGAGGUCUUGGGGGCGAAACGCCCUCAACCUAUUCUCAAACUUUAAAUUGGUAAGAAGCCCGACUCGCUCGUUUGGAGCCGGGCAUGGAAUGCGAGUGCCAAGUGGGCCACUCUUGGUAAGCAGGACUGGCGAUGCGGGAUGAACCGAACGCCGGGUUAAGGCGCCCGACGCGACGCUCAUCAGAGCCCACAAAAGGUGUUGGUUGAUAUAGACAGCAGGACGGUGGCCAUGGAAGUCGGAAACCGCUAAGGAGUGUGUAACAACUCACCUGCCGAAUCAAUCAGCCCUGAAAAUGGA
rnacentral:ncRNA from 1 species